GCAGUCGCGGCCGAGUGGUUAAAGCGAUGGACUUAAAAUCAAUUCCGGUCUUCCUGCGCAGGUUCGAACCCUGUCGACUGCG
rnacentral:tRNA from 1 species